GGGCGCGCAGAAUCGGUCAAACUGGUUUUACACACCAGCGGUCGGGGGUUCGAUCCCCUCUGCGCCCA
rnacentral:tRNA from 1 species